rnacentral:lncRNA from 1 species
AAAAUCCUCACCUACGGAUGAACGUAGGUAGACGAGGAAUCACACUUACCUCAGUCGCAGAAAAGCGAGCAAAAAGAGGGGGCAAGUAUUCAAAUAACAAUCCUCACCUACGGAUGAACGUAGGUAGACGAGGAAUCACACUUAGCCUCAUUCGCAGAAAGGCGAGCAAAAGGAGGGGGCAAAUAUUCAAGUAAUAAUCCUCACCUACGGAUGAACGUAGGUAGACGAGGAAUCACACUGAGCCUCAGUCGC